GGGGCGGGGGCAACAGACACUUCGAUCGCGUGAAGGGUCACCCUUACAAUGGAUCGCUAAACCAACAAUGGGCUCGCCGCUCGGUAUGGUGCCCGUCCUGCACCGUAGCGGCUAAAGCCAAUGAAGAAACUAAGCAUGUAGUACCAAUGGCAGAGUGCUUUCGGACGGGGGUUCGACUCCCCCCAGCUCCACCA
rnacentral:tmRNA from 1 species